rnacentral:rRNA from 1 species
GACGAACCGAGCGAACGUUGUUCGGAAUCACUGGGCUUAAAGGGCGCGUAGGCGGGUGCUCAAGUCCGUGGUGAAAUCCUCCGGCUCAACCGGAGAACUGCCUCGGAUACUGGGCGUCUCGAGUGUGGUAGGGGUAUGCGGAACUAUCGGUGGAGCGGUGAAAUGCGUAGAGAUCAGGAAGAACAUCGGUGGCGAAGGCGCUCUGCUGGACCAUAACUGACACUCAGGGACGAAAGCUAGGGGAGCGAAUGGG